rnacentral:rRNA from 1 species
GACGAACGCUGGCGGCGUGCUUAACACAUGCAAGUCGAACGGCCAGGCCCUGCUGCUGCGGGGUGCUCGAUUGCCGAUCGGGUGAUUAACAUGUGUGUAACCUGCCCUUGACUUAGGGGUAACUUUAGGGAAUUCGGGCUAUUACCGGAUAGGUGCUCCUCGUGCAAGGUGGGGGCGGGAGAGUUUAGGGGGUUGGGGAUGGACUCGCGGCUUAUCAGCUUGUUGUGGGGGUAGUGGCAUACCAAGGCUCGGAGCGGUAGCCGGGCUGGGAGGGUGACCGGCCACGUCAGGAUUGGGAUGAGACCCAGACUCCUAUGGGAGGCAGCAGUGGAGAAUAGUGCACUAGGGGAGGAAGCCUAAUGCGGCAACGCCGCGUGCGGGAUGACGGCCUUCGGGUAGUGAUCCGCUGUCGCCUGUGACGAGACGUGAGUGACGGUAAUGGGUAAAGAAGCACCGGCUAACUACGUG